rnacentral:lncRNA from 1 species
AGGAGAUUAGAUAUAAUGUUGUGAAGAGGCUUCAGUAACUCAAAGCCAACAGUAGAACAAUUUUAUUCACAUGCUUUUUCAGUAAAUGAACGCAGUGAUGCAAAAAUUAGACAGAAAUAUUAACUAUUAUUAUCCUAUUAUUAUUAUUAUUAUUAUUAUUAUUAUUAUUAUUAUUAUUAUUAUUAUUAUUAUUAUUAUUAUUAUUAUUAUUAUUAUUACGCUAUCUGUUAUUUUCUAGGAAUAGUCAGUUCACAGUUGCCAUACUUUAGGUAUUAUAUACAUAAAAAGAUGUGACUGAAAGUGUGUUAUUACAUUUUUGUUUAAAAAGAAACCACGGAGACGUUUUCUUUUCUAGAUGACCUUUAUUGUGAAAACACUGACUAUACUAACUGGCUCAAAAGGUUCAAAUAUUACAUUAGCGUUCAUUUUAAACACAAUUUACACAUUGCUAGAGCGAAGGAAUGAAGGGGCAAAUGUCAAAUAAAUAAAUAAAUAAAUAAAUAAAUAAAUAAAUAAAUAAAUAAAUAAAUGUAUCACCCCUAUAGGCCCCCAUACAGGGGAGGAUUUAUGAAUCGAAUAAAUGGCGCCCAGACUUCUUCACCUGGCUGCUUGUGCGCAUGCUCACACGCGAUGCUCACAAACGGAAUGACGGGACUAAUUGGAGUGGCGCGAAUACUUCGGCCAAACGUUUAGCAACUUCUUUCAGCUACAGACAUCUUCGAGUGACAGACAUCUAAUUUGUGACAGUAGGUGGAUGUGGUGGUGGCAAAGGUCCUGCACCUCUAACCUCUGACAGUGAACGUGGUUCAGCUUUCUGCUGUUCAGGCCGCUCCAGUCAUUCUUUAUGUUACGCUGCCGCCUCAUGAAAGGACACCGUGAGUUUGUUUGGUGGACUGGAACGGCAUCAAAGCAAAGAACAGAGGCGCGUGUGCCGGGCUGUCGCUGAAGUGAGAACCGCUCCACGGCUGCUUGGUUUGAACAGAUGAAAGGGUUAAUCUCAUUUGACGACAUACAACCGUUCCUGGCCGAAGGGGGCAAUUUCACGAUUGGCCCCCGGUGGAUUGAACAUACGACCCACGGGCGACACUACCUGUUCCACCACUACCCCGGAUGGCGCCACUCCUGGAAGGGUGACCUUCCCAUUUGGAGCUGAGGAGUGUUUCAGAAAGCCAAUACAGCUGCCACGAUUUCAUUCACACAGACGAGCAGAGAGACAGAUCCAAAGAGACAGGAAUGAGAAGCCUAGCUUGGAUUCUGUACACAUUCCUUAAUAUCUGACCUUGUGUGUGUGAUUGUGUGUGUGUGAAGGAUGGACAGUAGAUAUUGGAUCAAGUACUUGAUACUACUCAGUAAUACUUAGCCAUAUCCAGAUUUCAUAAUAAAUUUGAAAUAAUAAAAUAUUGCUAGCUUGUA